CGUGUAUUUAUUCUGGGACACGGCACUUAGAAUUUAGUUGUCUCACAUCAUUUAAGAGCUAUAAACAUGAAAUUAAUUUUUCUUGCCUUCUUUCUGAUUCCUUUAAUUGAUUCGAUCAUGGGGAAUUCUCCGGAUAUUUGCAAGCUUCCGAAGGUUGUUGGGCCUUGCAAAGCCGGGCUUCACCGGGUCUAUUACAAUUCUGCAGACAAAAAGUGCACUGAAUUUUUAUUUGGUGGAUGUCAAGGAAACGAAAAUAAUUUCAAGUCUAUACUGGACUGCGAAGCCGCUUGCAAAGGAAAAUAAGUAUACCUGAACUGAAGCUAUCGCAAAAAUAAUUAUAAGUAUUAUUUAAUACAUUGCAUAGUUAUCAGAUAAAAAUAAAAUAAAAUGUUUAUAUUGACAUUUAUCAAAUUUAA